AUACGGAGGGGGCUAGCGUUGUUCGGAAUUACGGGGCGUAAAGGGCGCGUAGGCGGAUUGUCAAGUCAGAGGUGAAAGCCCUGGGCUCAACCUGGGAAUUGCCUUUGAAACUGAUUGUCUAGAGUCCGGAAGAGGAUGGCGGAAUUCCCAGUGUAGAGGUGAAAUUCGUAGAUAUUGGGAAGAACACCGGUGGCGAAGGCGGCUUUCUGGGCUGUGCCUGACGCUGAGGCUCGAGAGCGUGGGGAGCAAACAGGAUUAGAUACCCCAGUAGUCC
rnacentral:rRNA from 1 species